AACCCUCAUUGUUAGUUACUACCAUUUCAGUUUGAGGACUCUAAUGAGACUGCCAACGACAAGUUGGAGGAGUGGGGAUGACGUCAAAUCAUCAUGCCCCUUAUGUUCUGGGCUACACACGUGCUACAAUGGCCGGUACAGACGGACGCAAAGCCGCGAGGUGGAGCAAAUCCUAAAAAGCCGGUCUCAGUUCGGAUUGCAGGCUGCAAUUCGCCUGCAUGAAGUCGGAAUCGCUAGUAAUCGCAGGUCAGCAUACUGCGGUGAAUACGUUCCCGGGCCCUU
rnacentral:rRNA from 1 species